UACAGAGGGGGCAAGCGUUGUUCGGAAUUACUGGGCGUAAAGGGCUCGUAGGUGGCCAACUAAGUCGGACGUGAAAUCCCUCAGCUUAACUGGGGAACUGCGUCCGAUACUGGAUGGCUUGAGUUUGGGAGAGGGAUGCGGAAUUCCAGGUGUAGCGGUGAAAUGCGUAGAUAUCUGGGGGAACACCGGUGGCGAAGGCGGCAUCCUGGACCAACACUGACACUGAGGAGCGAAAGCCAGGGGAGCAAACGGG
rnacentral:rRNA from 1 species